CCCUCGAGCCUUGGAAUGAUUAAAUAAUCAAUCCGAGGAUUUUUAGUCUUCACGCAUGUCGUCUUUUAAGUAGUUUUGCAGCAUCCAGCCUCUGAGCUUAUGUGCCAGGUGAGCCGUAGGAGCCAUGUUGAGUAGUUAUUUGGCGCUUAGCCCUCGAGCUUAAGAGCUAGCGGAGCUGCUGAAGGUAUUCUGAGUAGUAAUGGGUACUUAGCCCUCGAGCUAGGAGCUAGCGCAGCCAUUGGAGGUACGCUGAGCGUCCUGGAGAGUCGUCGCCGAUGCUUGAUCUGCAAAAAGAGAUGCAUACAUUAUGUAGCAUAUUUGUAGAAUUUUGAAACUACUGAAAUUUAUUCAGUGGUAAAUGUAAUGUAAAUGUUUGUGUCAUGCUCUUGUUUCGGCCAUAGUUUUCCCGAGUAGUUAGCCUAUUACGUUUAGACUCUCAGUCUCUGUUUAGCCACCGACACUGCGUGUUAGAUCUUUGUCUUGUGUACAUGUACUAGCACUACUACUACGGAGAUCUUUAUCUCACGUUCUAGCGUUUAGGCAUGACAGAAGAUCCGAGGCUUUCACGAAUUAAGGCGUAUUUUUCUCGAGGAGAUUAGCAAUCGCUAAGAGAAGACAACAAAAAUAAGUAGUCGACAUUACGACAAAAAGAGAGCACGAUUGUGCGUAAAGUAAUCAUUGGAAUUUUUCUACCUUUUUGGUGAGGAGAGUGCGUGUUGCCACGCAUAGUAUUUGUAC
rnacentral:lncRNA from 1 species